rnacentral:snoRNA from 12 species
UUGCAAUGAUGACUUGAUUCUGUCAAUCCCCUGAGUGCAAUCGCUGAUGUCAGAGUGUCUCUGAGCAA